UACGUAGGGCGCAAGCGUUGUCCGGAAUUAUUGGGCGUAAAGAGCUCGUAGGCGGUUUGUCGCGUCUGCUGUGAAAACUCGAGGCUCAACCUCGGGCUUGCAGUGGGUACGGGCAGACUAGAGUGCGGUAGGGGUGACUGGAAUUCCUGGUGUAGCGGUGGAAUGCGCAGAUAUCAGGAGGAACACCGGUGGCGAAGGCGGGUCUCUGGGCAGUAACUGACGCUGAGGUGCGAAAGCGUGGGGAGCAAACAGG
rnacentral:rRNA from 1 species